rnacentral:rRNA from 1 species
UGGGGAAUAUUGCACAAUGGGCGAAAGCCUGAUGCAGCAACGCCGCGUGAGUGAUGAAGGCCUUCGGGUUGUAAAGCUCUGUCUUUUGGGACGAUAAUGACGGUACCAAAGGAGGAAGCCACGGCUAACUACGUGCCAGCAGCCGCGGUAAUACGUAGGUGGCAAGCGUUGUCCGGAUUUACUGGGCGUAAAGGAUGCGUAGGCGGAUUUUUAAGUGAGAUGUGAAAUACCCGGGCUUAACUUGGGUGCUGCAUUUCAAACUGGGAAUCUAGAGUGCGGGAGAGGAGAAUGGAAUUCCUAGUGUAGCGGUGAAAUACGUAGAGAUUAGGAAGAACACCAGUGGCGAAGGCGAUUCUCUGGACCGUAACUGACGCUGAGGCAUGAAAGCGUGGGUAGCAAACAGGAUUAGAUACCCUGGUAGUCCACGCCGUAAACGAUGAGUACUAGGUGUAGGAGGUAUCGACCCCUUCUGUGCCGCAGUUAACACAAUAAGUACUCCGCCUGGGAAGUACGAUCGCAAGAUUAAAACUCAAAUGAAUUGACGGGGUC